GGUUCUGAUGCCAUGUCUGUGGUUGCCCUUGACCGGAGAUGCUACAUUGUGCCGACAGAGAUUUUCACAUUUGAUAGGAACCUGUUGCUGUGAUUCAGUCAGUACACAGAGCUGUUUCCUGUGAUUAUACUU
rfam:Hordeum vulgare subsp. vulgare, WGS project CAJW01000000 data, contig: morex_contig_2547253